CCUAGAGCUCUGAAGUCACUUUGGCCUUGGUGCAGGAUUCCCCUGAUGACAUCAUUUGUCUAGACAUUGAAGAGAAGCAGAGUGAUGUGGUCAGACGAGGGAAAAUCCGAGUGGGAACAAGGAGCAGGAGCUCAUUACAGGGACCAUGUUGCCCCUGAGAUACAAGUAAAACUAGCGUGUGCUGCAGUGUGUGAGAGGACAGAAAUAACAGUGGGGGCUCAACAAAAGCAGCGGAUGUAGCAGGUUCUUAGGCAAGGCCCCCACUGAUGAGAGCCUCUGGCUGUGGGCCAGGCUCAGGUAGCCACAGAAAGCUCACAGCACAGCCCCCAGCUGAACCGCAAGCCUCUGCCCCACCGUACCCAGCUCAGAGCAAAGCAGAAACUCGAAGCAGACGCUGCUCCCCAAAAGCAGCACCCCAAAAUAUGCUGUGGCAGGCACCAUGGGCAAGGCUGUCUCCUUCUGGCCCUGCCAUCCUGCUGCUGGUGAUCUGUGGCAGCAUGAGCUCCCAGGACAUCUGCAGCUCCCCAGGGGAUCUCCAAGCUCCUGCUCUCCAAAUGAACUCAACUUCUGCUCAGCCAGGUACCAGAGUUGUGCUCCAGUGUAUUCUCCAUGUGUUUUCACAUACAAGACGAAUCAUCUUCUGCAAGGAUGGGAAGGAGGUGUACAGCCAGGAAGCCCAGCAAGGGCAGCUGAGCUACUCCGUGGUCCUGAACAUCACGUCAAGGAGCGCAGGAAGAUAUACAUGUGGGUACCAGCAGAGGAAUGAGAUGAAACAGAGGAGGAGCUCUGCCCUCAGUGCUGGCCGCAUCCUGAAUGUCCCUGGUGAGUCAUGGCCCUGGGCUGGAGGGGUGAGAAGGGACGGAGGCACUUGCCACCACAUGGCUGUGCUGAGGCUGGAGCUGUGUGCUGCAGCAGGCUCUGGGAUGGUUCCCUUACGGGAGUGUUCCCUCUCCUCCAAGGCAGCCCCUACAGAGAGAGAGUUGUUCUCAAGGGGUCCCGUGUCCCUGCAGCACCACCUCUGCUGCAGAGAU
rnacentral:lncRNA from 1 species